rnacentral:rRNA from 1 species
CUGGCGGCGUGCCUAACACAUGCAAGUCGAGCGAGGAGAUCCUUCGGGAUGAUCCUAGCGGCGGACGGGUGAGUAACACGUGGGCAACCUGCCUCAUAGAGAGGAAUAGCCUUCCGAAAGGGAGAUUAAUACCUCAUAACAUUGCAGUUUCGCAUGGAACAGCAAUUAAAGGAGCAAUCCACUAUGAGAUGGGCCCGCGGCGCAUUAGCUAGUUGGUGAGGUAACGGCUCACCAAGGCGACGAUGCGUAGCCGACCUGAGAGGGUGAUCGGCCACAUUGGGACUGAGACACGGCCCAGACUCCUACGGGAGGCAGCAGUGGGGAAUAUUGCACAAUGGGGGAAACCCUGAUGCCAGCAACGCCGCGUGAGUGAUGACGGCCUUCGGGUUGUAAAGCUCUGUCUUCAGGGACGAUAAUGACGGUACCUGAGGAGGAAGCCACGGCUAACUACGUGCCAGCCGCGGC